UUCUGGAGUUUGGCAGAGGGGGGUAGAAUUCCACGUGUAGCAGUGAAAUGUUAGAGAUGUGGAGGAAUACCGAUGGCGAAGGCAGCCCCCUGGGCCAAUACUGACGCUCAUGCACGAAAGCGUGGGGAGCAAACAGGAUUAGAUACCCUGGUAGUCCACGCCCUAAACGAUGUCAACUAGGUGUUGGAGGGGUUAAACCUUUUAGUGCCGUAGCUAACG
rnacentral:rRNA from 1 species